rnacentral:rRNA from 1 species
AUUGAACGCUGGCGGCAUGCCUUACACAUGCAAGUCGAACGGCAGCGGGGGAGAAGCUUGCUUUUCCUGCCGGCGAGUGGCGAACGGGUGAGUAAUACAUCGGAACGUGCCCUGUAGUGGGGGAUAACUAGUCGAAAGAUUAGCUAAUACCGCAUACGACCUGAGGGUGCAAGUGGGGGACCGCAAGGCCUCAUGCUAUAGGAGCGGCCGAUGUCUGAUUAGCUAGUUGGUGGGGUAAAGGCCUACCAAGGCGACGAUCAGUAGCUGGUCUGAGAGGACGAUCAGCCACACUGGGACUGAGACACGGCCCAGACUCCUACGGGAGGCAGCAGUGGGGAAUUUUGGACAAUGGGCGAAAGCCUGAUCCAGCAAUGCCGCGUGUGUGAAGAAGGCCUUCGGGUUGUAAAGCACUUUUGUCCGGAAAGAAGUGGCUCUGGUCAAUACCUGGGGUCGAUGACGGUACCGGAAGAAUAAGGACCGGCUAACUACGUGCCAGCCGCCGCAGUAA